UACGUAGGGAGCAAGCGUUGUCCGGAAUCAUUGGGCGUAAAGCGCGCGUAGGCGGCCUCAUAAGUCCGUUGUGAAAGUCAAAGGCUCAACCUUUGAAAGCCGAUGGAUACUGUGAGGCUAGAGUCCGGAAGAGGCGAGUGGAAUUCCUGGUGUAGCGGUGGAAUGCGCAGAUAUCAGGAGGAACACCAAUAGCGAAGGCAGCUCACUGGGACGGUAUUGACGCUGAGACGCGAAAGCGUGGGGAGCAAACAGG
rnacentral:rRNA from 1 species